AUCUUUCCCAUGGUAUGCAGAGGGAGGUGUGACACAGAAGCACAGGAGAAGAACCAUCAGAGACACAAGCAGUGACUAGGCUUACAUUGUCACAAGCAAAGGAACACCUGGGACCCGAAGAGCAGAAGUUUCUCCCCGGACCCUCUGAAUGGGCAGAAGGACUGCAGACCACUUACUUUUGAACGUCUUGCUUGCAGAACCGUAAAUAACCACUCAUAAGCUUGGGUUGUGAAAUUCUCAGAGGCAAGCUCAUCACCAGAUGUGGCCCACAGAGAGAAGAGCCCCAGCCUGGCUCUGAGUCCACAUGCAAGGAAGGGCGACCAUGCCCAGAAGAGGAGUUCCUUGGUUCCAGACGAAUCUCCAUUGUGACGUUGCUAGAAGAUGCUUGGUGGGACAAUGUAGAAGGUUUCCUCCCUGGUUUCAGAGCAGGCUGCUGCAGUGCUGGGACUACGAACACGCCACCAUGCCCAGACUUAUUUCUUUCCAUAUGGAGUUGGAGAUCAAACUCAGGCCUCCACACUUUUGAGGUUACCUCCCUCCCCCAGCUUCCACCUGCCUUUAGCAAGGGACACCUUCCAUGAUAAACCAGGCAGGCCUGGCAUUUUCCACAAUCCCCACCUGAGUCUUCUGAUAGACCUGAGGAGAGGCAAAGUUCCUCAUAGACGGAUGCCGGGAACACACAAUGCAUGGGGAUGCCAUGGAGGACGGCAGAGAGGACUGAGGCCUUCAGCUCCCCUGAAGCAACAUUUACUUGACAUUGUAAACCGAGGGAUGCACACUGGGGAUGGGACUCUGACCCUCUGUGAGAACAGCCCAGGAACUGUGUGUUGCAUUGCGGAAACCCUCUGAAGGGUCAGCACUGUCGAAACAAAACAAAGUCAAAAUGAAGACCCCAGGCACCCAGUUUAAUGCAAGCUGGAGUUCAGAUGUUGUCUCAGAUAUGAUUCUUAUUCAGCCAGUCAGUAUGUGUUUCCUGAAAUCUCACUGGUGUCACAGAGAGACAGCAGAGUGAUAUGCGUUGGCGGCCGGAUGACUUGAAAUGGCACUGCAAACACAAGAUGAUUUUACUUACGAAAUAUGGAGUUUUCAUAAAAUAGUUUGGGAUGAAGGAGACGGAGAAAAAGAACAAUGGGAAACCCCAGAAGACAAAACCUUUAAAAGUUCUUACGUGCUUGGUAUGCCUCUCCCUACUAAAUGUAAAAGAAAUCCCCCCAAAUAAAUAGUUUAAGAAAGUUUUGUAAACAGCAACUUAAUAAAAUUUACCCUAAUAAAGCUUUAUCAUCUGGUUUCAACAACAA
rnacentral:lncRNA from 1 species